UUUCCCUCAUAUUGCCCCACUGCUUUCCUUAAUUCUUUAUGCAUCUAUUAAAUUUAAAAAUAGGAGUAUAGAUCAUAUAUGAGGUUUAGUGUUUGUCAAUCUGAAGUGUCUACCUAGGCUCCUAUUGGUUUUUUCAGAAUGAUUUUUACCUGUUACUUCACAAAUACCAAAAUUACUCAACUCUUCAAAAGCUGUUAUCUUAUUUUGUUACAGCACUGAAAGGAAUACAAGAUAAGUGCUGCUCUCUCUGAGAGUGGAUAGGGUUGUAAAGAAUUCACUGACUUGCUCCACGUCUUCUUGAUAACUAUGUAAGCCGAGAGGCCAUUUGUUAGGAUCAACAAAUGGUUGAUGAAAAAUGAAUAAGAUCAUCCUUAUCCUCAAGAGACUGAAGGCGUAAAAAUGGGUGAACUUUCUAGAAGUUAAGAUAAAAAGAAAUGCUCAAGUGUAAAUACUUUGUAUUGUAAAUAGCCAAGGAAAGAGAAAGAAGAACUAGUGAAGAAACCAACAAAAGAAUAUUAUGACAGGGGGGGAACGAGAGCCAGUGAGGUGCAUCAGAACCACCUAAAGGGACUGUCAAAAAUGUGGAUCUGCUGGCUCCACUCCACACAGACUCGACCAGAAGCUCUGCCAGUGUGGCCCCAGGAAUCUGCAUUGCUAAGCUCACACAGGUGAUUCUUCUGUAUGUUCUAACGUCAUGAAAAACAAAGGAAGAGUUUCAAAGAAAAGGUGGGCAACAAUGAAAAAUUAUAUAAAAAUGUAAACACUAAAAAAUAUGAAAAAUGUAAGAUUCACCACAAAUGAGAGAAAAUCCUGCUGAUUUUCCUAUUUUUAAACUAAAAAGAUAUUGAAGUAAGCAUACCCCGUGGAUGGUGGAGCAGAAAGCUGUGAACCUGGAUCCUUGAUGGCUGCGUUCAGCAGCUGAAUCAACCAUAACAUCACCUGCCUCCGGACUUCCAAUGUGAGAAAAAUAAACCCCUUUUAAUUAAAGUAAGAGUGUAUAUUCUUGUUUGCAGUAAAUUUACUUGGUAAUAACGGGUAAAGAAUGAAUGCUUGUGAAUAGUAAUGACAACACUUAUUGAGUGUUUACUACACAUCAAGCACUUUAAGAGCUUUAUACAAAUAUCUCACCAAAUCCCCAUCACAACCCUAUGAUACAGCAUAACUCACCAUUACUAAUAGGAAAAUAAAUGAGCUCCACUUACGGACAUGCAGCGUACCAAAGGUAGUAAAUGGAUGUCUCAUGGAUAAUGAAAGGAUAGGAAAAUGGAUGUGGUCAACUUGUUAAUUCCCAAGUACUUUUCCUGGCAUUUCUACUGCCUAUCUUCUUUUGCAUUAAUUUAAAUCCUAUAUAUCUUUCGUGGCACAAGGUAAGUCCAAAUCCUCUGUUAGGAAAUCUCUCUUAACAACAUUUAAGUAUGAGCUUUCCCUUUUUUGAUUCUCUGGAAUUCAGAUUUAGGACCAUACUCUAUGACCUAGAUUAUACAACAUUUGAAGUAGAAAAAAUGCCUUAUUCUAGAAGAGUACAGGGUGUUAAAUAAUUCCUGUCAAACGAUGACAUCUAACCAUUUUACAUUUUUCACCUAUAAAAAUUUUCCAUAAUGUGACUUGAAAAUUCUUAUUUUAGGCUUACCUGUAAUCAUACUUCAUUUAAUUGAGCAAAUGUAAUUAAUUUGUUACUAAUAGAUAAGAGUUCUCUGUGGUUUCCAGCUUGGUAAUGUUUCUCUUGACAUCUCUCUCUGGUGAUCUAGGUUAAUGGAAAUUUGCGAACGUGUACAAUUGCUUUUUAUGAAGCACUGAAUAUUCUUCCACUCCUGCCUCCCUACAUGUGUCAGUUCUCCUUAGCAUUCUGCAAUGAUCAAAACUGACAUAUUCACAUAUGUGUAAAUGUCUAUUUGGGGAAAUGAUAUGGUUUUAAAAAUGUUGUUGCUGUUAUGUUAUGUCGCUGUUGGCAUGUCUUUAUUUUGUCCUGUUGCUAGACACAUGUUGACAAUUCUUGAGGGAAUAAAGAUUCUACUGUUUCCCUUUACAUUUAAUUACAUUGAGAACUUUAGAAAACUGUCUCCAUGAGUUAUACAUGAUUAGUUCAU
rnacentral:lncRNA from 1 species